CCCUUAGAUGUUCUGGGCGGCCCGCGCACUGCAUUGGCACUAGCAAAGAGAUCCUAGAUUGAAUUCUUUGGGGUAUUCUUCUAAAUGGUGUCGUGACUGGGAUAAAUCCUUGUAAUUAUUGGUUUUGAACGAGGAAUUCCUUGUAAUCGCGGUUUAUCAGCUCGCGUUGAAUGCGUCCCUGCCCUUUGUACACACCGCCCGUCGCUCCUACCGAUGGAUCGUCCGGUGAAGCUCACGGAGUGACUGUUCGCGCAACGGUUUACGAAGUGAAAUGGACCUCACGAUUUAGAGGAAGGAGAAGUCGUAACA
rnacentral:rRNA from 1 species